UACGAAGGGGGCUAGCGUUGCUCGGAAUUACUGGGCGUAAAGGGCUCGUAGGCGGCCAACUAAGUCACACGUGAAAUCCCCAGGCUUAACCUGGGAACUGCGUGUGAUACUGGAUGGCUUGAAUCCGGGAGAGGGAUGCAGAAUUCCAGGUGUAGCGGUGAAAUGCGUAGAUAUCUGGAGGAAUACCGGUGGCGAAGGCGGCAUCCUGGACCGGCAUUGACGCUGAUGAGCGAAAGCUAGGGGAGCAAGCGGG
rnacentral:rRNA from 1 species